GUGGUAGCGAUAAUAAGGAUACACCUUCUGCAUCUAAUGUUGAUACUUCAAUUUUUGAGAAACUUUCUGAACUCGGAUCUCACGUAGUUCAACCAAAAGACUUUGAUAUUGUAAUGUAACUUUGUUUGAUCUAUAAAAUUUUAUUUACAUUUUUAUUUCAUGAGAAAAAAAGCUCAUAAUAUAUCACCUCUAAAGAAAAAAAAAUUAUUUAGCCUAGCCCUAUAAAAUUCCUGGGUCCGCCAUUGCCCAUGACCACCCUCCAACCCCACGAAACCAGAACCCAGAAACCCAGCCCCGACGAACCCAAAAGUCACAGAACCCAUCCCCGCUGCAAUUUUCUUCUUCCCUCAUCCCGUGCGAUUUCUUCUCCCUCCACCCCUUGCGAUUUUCUAAAUUUACAUAUGUUAAUCUAUUAGUUCAGAUCAACAUACAACACACAAAUUAAAAGAUUCUCCAUUUUCCUUCACUUUCUCACCAACCAAACACUGACUUUGCAAAAAUGAAGAAGCGGAAGAAAUCGGGUUUGGGGUUUGGGGCGGGGCUCUCAAAUUCUCCCUCUACCCUAAUUUCUUUCCCUCACCCAGAUUUCUUCCUUCCCCAAAAUUUCUUCCCCCACCCAGAUUUCUUCUCCCCCUACCCUCUGAUUUCUUCUCCCCAUCAAAAAAUCAACAUCUGAUCCAUAAUCAAAACAAAGGAAAAAAUCACUUUACUAGGGAAGAAAUCGGCCACUGUGAUUUCAAAAUUGGUUGUUUGAUCAUUUCUUUGUUGGUAUCUGGAGGGGGAAAGAAAUCGGAGGGAGGGGGAAGAAAUUGGAAGGUAGGAGGGAGAGGAGGUCUGAGUGGUUGCGGGCUGGGGUUUGGGUUCGUGGGGUCGUGGUUGCAGGCUCGGGUGGAGGAUGGUUGUGGGAUAAGUUUGGAGGUUGGAGCUUACAAGUGGUGGUCAUGGAGGGGGGAGGGGAAGAAAUCAGGAUUAAUAUAUGGCAAAGAUCCCCAAUGCUAAGAGGUUUUCCAAUCGGAGGCCCAUCCAAAUAUAUGGCAGAGACGAGAUAGAGGUUUGCUGGGGAUGAGGGUGAGGGGGGUUGUGACGGAGGUGCUGACUGGCCAUCAGGGUGUAGGGAUUGGUGUUUGUGGUUGUCGAUAAAUAGUGAGGAAGAGAGAGGCUUGACCGGGAGAAUGUAGAGAGAGAGAGAAAGAGAGAGAGAGAGAGAGAAAGAAAUUUUUAUUUUUAUUUUUAUUGGUUUUUAAUCUUUU
rnacentral:lncRNA from 1 species